rnacentral:rRNA from 1 species
GACGAACCGUGCGAACGUUGUUCGGAAUCACUGGGCUUAAAGGGCGCGUAGGCGGCCUGCAUGGUCGGGGGUGAAAUCCCACAGCUUAACUGUGGAAGUGCCUUCGAUACCGGCGGGCUCGAGGAAGGUAGGGGUGCGCGGAACUUCUGGUGGAGCGGUGAAAUGCGUUGAUAUCAGAAGGAACGCCGGCGGCGAAAGCGGCGCACUGGACCUUUUCUGACGCUGAGGCGCGAAAGCCAGGGGAG